GGCGAACGCUGGCGGCGUGCUUAACACAUGCAAGUCGAACGGUGAAGCUCCGGCUUGCUGGAGUGGAUCAGUGGCGAACGGGUGAGUAACACGUGAGCAACCUGCCCCUGACUCUGGAAUAAGCGCUGGAAACGGCGUCUAAUACUGGAUACGAGAAGGGUCCGCAUGGGCACUUUCUGGAAAGUUUUUCGGUUGGGGAUGGGCUCGCGGCCUAUCAGCUUGUUGGUGAGGUAAUGGCUCACCAAGGCGACGACGGGUAGCCGGCCUGAGAGGGCGACCGGCCACACUGGGACUGAGACACGGCCCAGACUCCUACGGGAGGCAGCAGUGGGGAAUAUUGCACAAUGGGCGAAAGCCUGAUGCAGCGACGCCGCGUGAGGGAUGACGGCCUUCGGGUUGUAAACCUCUUUCAGCAGGGAAGAAGCGAAAGUGACGGUACCUGCAGAAGAAGCACCGGCUAACUACGUG
rnacentral:rRNA from 1 species